rnacentral:rRNA from 1 species
GCCUACGGGGCGCAGCAGUGGGGGAUAUUGCACAAUGGGGGAAACCCUGAUGCAGCGACGCCGCGUGAGUGAAGAAGUAUUUCGGUAUGUAAAGCUCUAUCAGCAGGGAAGAAAAUGACAGUACCUGACCAAGAAGCCCCGGCUAACUACGUGCCAGCAGCCGCGGUAAUACGUAGGGGGCAAGCGUUAUCCGGAUUUACUGGGUGUAAAGGGCGUGUAGCCGGGCCGGCAAGUCAGAUGUGAAAUCCCAAGGCUCAACCUUGGAACUGCAUUUGAAACUGUUGGUCUUGAGUAUCGGAGAGGCA